GGGUGUGGCGGAGGCUUACCAUGCAAGUCGAGCGGAGUGAUGGUGCUUGCACUAUCACUUAGCGGCGGACGGGUGAGUAAUGCUUAGGAAUCUGCCUAUUAGUGGGGGACAACAUUUCGAAAGGAAUGCUAAUACCGCAUACGUCCUACGGGAGAAAGCAGGGGAUCUUCGGACCUUGCGCUAAUAGAUGAGCCUAAGUCGGAUUAGCUAGUUGGUGGGGUAAAGGCCUACCAAGGCGACGAUCUGUAGCGGGUCUGAGAGGAUGAUCCGCCACACUGGGACUGAGACACGGCCCAGACUCCUACGGGAGGCAGCAGUGGGGAAUAUUGGACAAUGGGCGCAAGCCUGAUCCAGCCAUGCCGCGUGUGUGAAGAAGGCCUUAUGGUUGUAAAGCACUUUAAGCGAGGAGGAGGCUACUGAAGUUAAUACCUUCAGAUAGUGGACGUUACUCGCAGAAUAAGCACCGGCUAACUCUGUGCCAGCAGCCGCGGUAAUACAGAGGGUGCAAGCGUUAAUCGGAUUUACUGGGCGUAAAGCGCGCGUAGGCGGCUAAUUAAGUCAAAUGUGAAAUCCCCGAGCUUAACUUGGGAAUUGCAUUCGAUACUGGUUAGCUAGAGUGUGGGAGAGGAUGGUAGAAUUCCAGGUGUAGCGGUGAAAUGCGUAGAGAUCUGGAGGAAUACCGAUGGCGAAGGCAGCCAUCUGGCCUAACACUGACGCUGAGGUGCGAAAGCAUGGGGAGCAAACAGGAUUAGAUACCCUGGUAGUCCAUGCCGUAAACGAUGUCUACUAGCCGUUGGGGCCUUUGAGGCUUUAGUGGCGCAGCUAACGCGAUAAGUAGACCGCCUGGGGAGUACGGUCGCAAGACUAAAACUCAAAUGAAUUGACGGGGGCCCGCACAAGCGGUGGAGCAUGUGGUUUAAUUCGAUGCAACGCGAAGAACCUUACCUGGCCUUGACAUAGUAAGAACUUUCCAGAGAUGGAUU
rnacentral:rRNA from 1 species